rnacentral:rRNA from 1 species
CCUACGGGAGGCAGCAGUGGGGGAUAUUGGGCAAUGGGCGCAAGCCUGACCCAGCAACGCCGCGUGGAUGAAGAAGUCUUUCGGGUUGUAAAGCUCUAUUAGCAGGGACGAAGCAAGACACUAUACCUGUAGGAUACGCCACCGCAAUCUGCGGGCAAGCCGGCGCUGAAAUACGUAGGGGGCACGCUUUCUCGGUAUAUACGGGGUGUAAAGGGCGUGUAGGCGGUAAAGCAAGUCAGAUGUGAAAGCCAUGGGCUCAACCGGUGGACUGCAUUUGAAACUGUGUGUCGUGAGCGCUGGAGAGGCAGGCGGAAUUCCUGGUGUAGCGGUGAAAUGCGUAGAUAGUAGGAGGAACACCAGCGGCGAAGGCGGUCUGCUGGACAGCAACUGACGUUGAGGCGCGAAAGCGUGGGGAGCAAACAGGAUUAGAUACCCGAGUAGUC